GGGGUAUUAGCUCAGUUGGUAGAGCGUUUGAAUGGCAUUCAAAAGGUCAGCGGUUCGAUCCCGCUAUACUCCA
rnacentral:tRNA from 1 species